rnacentral:rRNA from 1 species
GUUCCUACGGGACGCAGCAGUGAGGAAUAUUGGUCAAUGGACGAAAGUCUGAACCAGCCAUGCCGCGUGCAGGAAGACGGCUCUAUGAGUUGUAAACUGCUUUUGUACAAGGGUAAACCUGAAUACGUGUAUUCAGCUGAAAGUACUGUACGAAUAAGGAUCGGCUAACUCCGUGCCAGCAGCCGCGGUAAUACGGAGGAUGCGAGCGUUAUCCGGAUUUAUUGGGUUUAAAGGGUGCGUAGGCGGGUUAUUAAGUCAGCGGUAAAAUCGUGGAGCUCAACUCCAUCCAGCCGUUGAAACUGAUG